GGUUAAGUCCCGUAACGAGCGCAACCCCUAUCCUUAUUUGCCAGCACAUCAUGGUGGGAACUAUAAGGAGACUGCCGGUGAUAAACCGGAGGAAGGCGGGGACGACGUCAAGUCAUCAUGGCCCUUACGACCAGGGCUACACACGUGCUACAAUGGGAAGGACAAAGAGCCGCGAAGCCGCGAGGUGUAGCUAAUCUCAGAAACCUUUUCGUAGUCCGGAUUGGAGUCUGCAACUCGACUCCAUGAAGUCGGAAUCGCUAGUAAUCGUAGAUCAGAAUGCUACGGUGAAUACGUUCCCGGGUCUUGUACACACCGCCCGUCAUACCAUGGGAGUGGGUUGCACCAGAAGUGGCUAGUCUAACUUUAUUGAGGACGGUCACCACGGUGUGAUUCAUGACUGGGGUAAAGUCGUAACAAGGUAGCCCUACCGGAAGGUGGGGCUGGAUCACCUCCUUA
rnacentral:rRNA from 1 species